rnacentral:rRNA from 1 species
UACGUAGGAGGCAAGCGUUGUCCGGAAUCAUUGGGCGUAAAGCGCGCGUAGGUGGCUUCGUAAGUCCGUUGUGAAAGUCAAAGGCUCAACCUUUGAAAGCCGAUGGAUACUGCGGAGCUAGAGUACGGAAGAGGCGAGUGGAAUUCCUGGUGUAGCGGUGGAAUGCGCAGAUAUCAGGAGGAACACCAAUAGCGAAGGCAGCUCGCUGGGACGUUACUGACACUAAGGCGCGAAAGCGUGGGGAGCGAACGAGGAAGUUAGGAA